UAGAGGAAGUAAAAGUCGUAACAAGGUUUCCGUAGGUGAACCUGCGGAAGGAUCAUUAUUGAAAUUAUAGGUGACGGUUGUAGCUGGCCUUUCGGGGCAUGUGCACGCCCGAGCCCUUAAUCCACACACACCUGUGAACCCAAUGUAAGGGCCCGUAAAAAAGGCCUUUAUGUCUCAUCACCAACCUUUUAUGUCUCAUAGAAUGUAAAUCUAUAUCCUCGCCUUAAAAAAGCGUUGAUAAAACUUAUACAACUUUCAACAACGGAUCUCUUGGCUCUCGCAUCGAUGAAGAACGCAGCGAAAUGCGAUAAGUAAUGUGAAUUGCAGAUUUUCAGUGAAUCAUCGAAUCUUUGAACGCACCUUGCGCUCCUUGGUAUUCCGAGGAGCAUGCCUGUUUGAGUGUCAUUAAAUUCUCAACUCCGAAUCGAUUUGUUUCGACUCGGAGCUUGGACUUUGGAGUGUGCUGGCGUCUGUCGGCUCCUCUUAAAUGCAUCAGCGGAAUAUAACCCCGGACAUCAGUGUGAUAAUCGUGUUGCGCUGUCGUCAGAGGUAUAAAAGUCCGCUCAUAAUGGUCUUCGGACAAACUUUACAAUCAAAUUUGACCUCAAAUCAGGUAGGACUACCCGCUGAACUUAAGCAUAUCAAUAAGCGGAGGAA
rnacentral:rRNA from 1 species